rnacentral:rRNA from 1 species
GAUUGCAGGCUGCAACUCGCCUGCAUGAAGUCGGAAUUGCUAGUAAUCGCAGAUCAGCAUGCUGCGGUGAAUACGUUCCCGGGCCUUGUACACACCGCCCGUCACACCAUGGGAGUCGGUAACACCCGAAGUCGGUAGCCUAACCGUAAGGAGGGCGCCGCCGAAGGUGGGAUUGAUGACUGGGGUGAAGUCGUAACAAGGUAGC